UGGAGUGAUGAGGAUGUGUCGGCACGUCUGGCGAUUUACUCGGAGGAUGGGAUCCAGCAGCUUCUACUGAAGGCAGUUUCCAACUGCAAAAUGUAUCAGCGUUGUUCGGUAAAGUUAGCCGACAUGGGAAUCUUCCACAGCGCACACUCAUGCCGGGACAAAAUAAAGAAACUAAAGCAGGACUACAAACAAAUAAAAGACCAUAAUAACAGUGGUUAACGGCCGGAAGACCCGUAAAUGGUAUGAUCGAUUGAAUGCUCUGCUCGGCGACAGACCCUCAUUCUCCGGCACUUGUGGUGAAACGGCGGAUUCAGUGGCCUGUGAAUUGUCCAACGACGACUACUACGAAGGCGAGGCAGGACAACUCUCUGGAUUGGAAACAAGUGAGCUUUCCCCUCCGGAUCACAACAGCAGCACUUUCUCGUCUCCUUUUCAACCAUCCAAACGCAAAAGAAAGCGGGCACGGGAUGACAGCUUCCUUGACACCAUCAU